UACGUAGGGGGCAAGCGUUGUCCGGAUUCAUUGGGCGUAAAGAGCGUGUAGGCGGCCAGGUAGGUCCGUUGUGAAAACCCGGGGCUCAACCCCGGGCGUGCGGUGGAUACUGCCAGGCUAGAGGAUGGUAGAGGCGAGUGGAAUUCCCGGUGUAGUGGUGAAAUGCGCAGAUAUCGGGAGGAACACCAGUAGCGAAGGCGGCUCGCUGGGCCAUUCCUGACGCUGAGACGCGAAAGCUAGGGGAGCGAACAGG
rnacentral:rRNA from 1 species